rnacentral:rRNA from 1 species
CCUACGGGAGGCAGCAGUAGGGAAUCUUCCACAAUGGGCGAAAGCCUGAUGGAGCAACGCCGCGUGAGUGAAGAAGUAUUUCGGUAUGUAAAGCUCUAUCAGCAGGGAAGAAGAAAGACGGUACCUGACUAAGAAGCCCCGGCUAACUACGUGCCAGCAGCCGCGGUAAUACGUAGGGGGCAAGCGUUAUCCGGAUUUACUGGGUGUAAAGGGAGCGUAGACGGCUGUGCAAGUCUGAAGUGAAAGCCCAGGGCUCAACCCUGGGACUGCUUUGGAAACUGUGGAGCUAGAGUGUUGGAGAGGUAAGUGGAAUUCCUAGUGUAGCGGUGAAAUGCGUAGAUAUUAGGAGGAACACCAGUGGCGAAGGCGGCUUACUGGACAGUAACUGACGUUGAGGCUCGAAAGCGUGGGGAGCAAACAGGAUUAGAUACCCGAGUAGUC